UUUUUUUCAUUUCCCUCACAUUUUUUUAGCAUUCCCUCCCAAAAUUUUACUUUUUUUCACUCCAAAUUUUAGAUUCUUCUUUUCUAGAAUUAGAACACAACAAACCCAAAAGAAAGAAACCCUUUGUGCCUCAGCUUCUUCCCUGACCUUUCACUGUCUCAGUUUUCUCUUCACCCUUGAUUGACCACCUCAAUACGGUGGAGACGCCCGUCACCGUGGAGGACUGGCCACCAUGGCCCACAAAUUGGGGGGCUGAAGAAGCAGCACAGCGUGGAGUACUGGAUGAUGAGGUCGCUUCUCCACAACGUCGAGGGCAGAGAAGUGGUUAGGGUUUCAGAUCCGCAACUCGCCAAUGCCUUCUUCAUUCCGUUCUUCUCUGCGCUCAGUUUCAACACGCACGGCCACAACAUGUAGGAUCCUGCCACAGACACGGAUCGUCAAUUGCAGUUUUUGUAAUAUUUGCCAAUAGGUCACUGAAAGUAAUAUUGAGGAGUUUAAAGCAAACAAUGGGGGAUCUGACUCUGGGAAACGACAUCAGAGGGUAUUUUUGCCGCUUCGGCAUUACCACUACCGCCAGUGAGCUCACUCGAAGGUGUUCCAACACUGUAGGAGCUAUUAUAUGGUAUGACAUAUGCAUCAUUCGUUACACCAAGGUAUGACUAAAUUUUUAUAUGUAUAAAUCACUGUUUGUUUCCCCUUAAUAGUACCUUCUUGUUUUGUUUAUCAAAUGAAAUUGUCAAACUGAUUUGGAUAAUUGAACUAGCUAAUAAUGGCUCCUUUUUUCUCUACUCAUUAUUUAUCGAAUUAACUAAUCUGUUUACUGAAAUUUGGAAGCUCAAUUGUAGCUAUAUGCUCUGAUCAUGAUUUCAAAUUUUGGGAUAUAGUUACCGAGAUUCCUUACUACUAAUUAAUUAAUCAUCAUAAAAUUUCUUUUAACAGAUUAUGGAAUGAAAAGCAUUGACAUUUCAAGCAUGUGAUGGAGUACCAUUUACCAAUUUCAUUGCUGAAUUUUUAUAUGUAUAAAUCACUAUUUGUUUAUUAUGGGAAUAAGGUUUCAAAUUUUAGAUCCAGAAGCAUUUAUAGGCCAAUUCUUGGUGCUGCGGAAAAUUAUGGGAAUAAAAUCCCCAAAAUUUCGAUGGCGGGUUUUUUCAAACCCCGGAUCCAUAUUCUUUGAAUGAAUAUUGUUUCCUUGAUUUGGGGUUUGAAAGUUUUAAACUUUCCCUCGAAAAUGAUUUUAUUAAACAGUUGGGUUUUUGUAUACGGUUUUUUAUUUAUUUGAUCGUGCGUAAAUAUUUCGUCUUUAUCUGUUUCUAGGCACUGGUUUUAUUCAGUUGGGGAGAUUUUUUUAUUUGUAUAAUAAUGAGUAUAACUGAAUAAUGAGUUUUGCUGAGUUGAUUUAACGUAUUGGCUACUGCUUGGAAAUUGUCUUUUAGUUUUUAAGAAUUUUUUUCUCUUUGAUUAGUCUUAUUAUUUAAUUAUUUAUUGAUGUUGAGGUCAGCGGGGUUGAGAUGUCUCCUGAUCCUAUUGAAGAGGCCAGCCUGCUACAUUCAACAUUGCUGCAACUACAAGUUGAGUCCGUGUAGUUUUGAUAUGUCAUUGGUGACUGUGUGAAGUAAUACUAGUAUUGGUGAUAAGCUUUGUAAAAGGAAAUUGGUAGGCUAUGUAAAGGAAAAAGGGUCGUGUGCUUAUAAAUAUGAUGUAGCUGAAAGAUGUGGAGCAUUGGUUUAUCUUAACAAAUUCACUGAAAGAUGUGGAGCAUAUGUUGUUGUCAAGCAAGAGAUGAUGCAACCUAGUGCCAACAUCAAAGACAGGUAAAUUCCUUUCUAUAUAUUUAUCUUGUUUUUUCUAGUUUGCAUAUUGUCAUAAAUUUUUGUAUGAAGAAUCUCAACUUUGUAGGUUCAGAAAUGGAUGAUGAAUCCAUUGUUCAUCUUGUUUAUCAUGCUUACAAUCUCACAAAACUUUGUAUGUAUAUCAUCAACCAAAGAUUAGAAGCAAUGGAAGCAGGAGAGUCUACGAACAAUGACUUGUUGGACAUACAUUGUUGAAUUUUAAAAAAGUAGUGAUGGAGGAAUGAGUUUAAGGGAAGUAGUUGAUGAAGUGAAGCUCUUUUACUUCGCAGCAUAGGAAGCAAAUGCAGAGUGUCUCAUGUUAAACUUUUAUCUGAGUUAGGGAUUUUGUUUAGGUUAUCAACUUUAGUCUAUAUGUUUUUAAUUGGUCUUGUAGUUUUCGACCAGGUCAAUCUUGUAAUGUUAUCUAAACAUUAUGUACUUUUUUAUAUUUACAUUAUAAUUGUCAA